CAACGUGGCACAGAACGGCACUGCAUCGGAGUAGGCACACUGCAAAGACGAGACGAGUCCUCCCCAGAGAGGGGAGGCGGUUAAGGAGAGGAGAUUGCGUGGCUCGGAGCAGCCAGACCCGAUGGUGUGCUUCUCACCUCAGCGUGAUAGCCUGACCUUGACUCCUGAGUUCCACGAUCGCUUCACAACUGCAAGUCACCAUCAUACAAAAUUUGAGUUUCCCUAAGUCCGCGCCUUUGAGAGCUUUGGAACGAUAUGCAAGUUCAAGUCACCAUCCUGUUUCUUGCUACCUCCUGUGAGAAGACCAACAUUUGGGUUACACUUGUUUCUACUCUUGUUCUUCUGCUUGUUAUUGUUGCCUCUGCAGCCAUUGAUCACACACGUGUUGUCAUACAAAAACUGGUUAGCCUUUUUAUUUGUCUUGUGAAUUUUAUCAUUUGGUUCUUAAGUAUUACAAAUUAAUAUUGUGUACUCUCAUUGAUAUACAACUUGCAGUCAUUGUAAAUAUGCGUGAGUUAGGGGUGAGAAUGGCAUGCAAGCAAAAGAACAAGGAGAGGGAUGAUAGAGAUGCAAGAAGAGUAAAGAGGGCAAGAAAGUUUAUGUUAAUAGCGAACACAAUGAAAGUUCUUUAAAUGCUUGAUAAUGGUGAAAGCAACACUUCCUAGGGCAUAUUUUUGGUGUUAAUGAACCUACACAUCAUACAAUAAAGAAAAUUGAGAAAGC
rnacentral:lncRNA from 1 species